rnacentral:rRNA from 1 species
GAUUAUAUUUUAUUUAUUAAUUUUUUUUUGUUUAUUUUAAGUUAUUAAAAAUAAUUAUAAAAUGAAUUGUUUUAGUAUUUAAUAAAGAAAAAAUAAUAUUAAUUAUAGUUUAAUAGUAUUGUGAAAGAAAAUUGAAAUAAUUUGAAAAAUUUUUAUUUGAAAAGAAAAUUUAAUUUGUUGUACCUUGUGUAUCAGGGUUUAUUAAAUAAAAAUUAUUUAAAAUAAUUUUCUCGAUUUUAAAAGAUUUAAUAUAUUAUAAAAGUUAAUGUGGUAAAAUUAUUUUAAAUAAUAUAUUAGAAAUGAAAUGUUAUUCGUUUUUAAAGGUAUCUAGUUUUUUAAGAAAUAAAUUUAAUUUAGAAAUUUUAUAUUAUUUAGUUAAAUAAAUUAAUUAAAUAAUUAUUUAAUUUUAAUAUUUUAUGGGAUAAGCUAUAAAAUAAAUUUUUAAAAAUAAAUAAAUAAAUUGAUAAAUAUAAGCUUAGAAAUAGCUAUUAUUAAUAAAAGUGUUUUAAUUUAUUUUAAAAUAAUUAUUAUUUAUUAAAGUUUUAAAUUUUUAUUAAAAUAUUUAUUUUAAUUAUAAAAAUAAAUUAAUAAUGAUAAAAUUAGUAUAUAAUUUUGUAUAAAUAAAUGUAAUUGAAAAGUUUUUAUAAAGAACUCGGCAAAAAUAAUGUUCGCCUGUUUAACAAAAACAUGUCUUUUUGAAUUUUUUUAAAAGUCUAGCCUGCCCACUGAAUUUUUUUUUAAAUGGCCGCAGUAUACUGACUGUGCAAAGGUAGCAUAAUCAUUAGUCUUUUAAUUGAAGGCUGGUAUGAAUGGUUGGACGAGAUAUUAACUGUUUCAUAAAAAUUUAUAAUAGAAUUUUAUUUUUUAGUCAAAAAGCUAAAAUUUAUUUAAAAGACGAGAAGACCCUAUAAAUCUUUAUAUUUAGAUAAUUAUUAUUUUAUAGAUUUAUUUUGUUAUAAUUGUUAAUAAUAUUUUAUUGGGGUGAUAUUAAAAUUUAAUAAACUUUUAAUUGUUUAAAUCAUUAAUUUAUGAAUAAUUGAUCCAUUAUUAGUGAUUAAAAAAAUAAGUUACUUUAGGGAUAACAGCGUAAUUUUUUUGGAGAGUUCAUAUCGAUAAAAAAGAUUGCGACCUCGAUGUUGGAUUAAGAUAUAGUUUUAGGUGUAGAUGCUUAAAUUUUAAGUCUGUUCGACUUUUAAAUUCUUACAUGAUCUGAGUUCAAACCGGCGUAAGCCAGGUUGGUUUCUAUCUUUAAAAAAUUAAAAUAUUUCAGUACGAAAGGACCUAAUAUUUGAUAAAUUAUUAUUUUUAUAUUGAAUAUAAUUAAUUUAA